UAGAAUAAAGCUCACUGGAUAGAGUUUUUAGCUGUUAACUAAAUUAUUACGGGAUCGAGGCCCGUUGUUCUAG
rnacentral:tRNA from 1 species